rnacentral:miRNA from 1 species
CAUCUACAAGGAUGGAUAAAAAUCCAUAUAUAUAUGGAUUUUUAUCCAUCCUUGUAUAUG